CUGAAUUCUUCACUACGAUCACUUCACUACCUUCACUUUCAGUGUUGCUGGAGGUCACAUCUCAGGACCCUGGUGUUCAUAAAGGAGGACAUCGAUUGCUUCCUUGGUUUAAACCAAGGAAUCGCUUUCCUGCUGCCCUCUGCCUGGGGCUGCCGAGGCCUUGGAGAACCGAAGGUGCAUCUGGUCCCACUCCUACUGACAAGAAGGCUUGGUGGCAACUGGUCUCCAUAAAUGAACAUAAACAUGUUUGAGAGCAUCAAACUCAGACUGGUGCAAAUAAAGAGCUGCAUGAACAGCGUCCAUCGAUACAGGACAGGUCUCAGGCACAACAGCCUAUGAAGAUGGAAACCAAUUUGGAGAAAUGACUCUGUUGGUGCCCAAGGUCAAUAACCUUCUGCUGAAAUACAAAGCAAGGAGCCUGGGGGUCACUGGGAUGAGUGAGGACCAAGGACUACUGUUGCAGAGGUGAGUCACACUCGAGUAGAACAGCUCACCCACCGAUAACGUCAAGAACAGUGCUACAUACCGUACAGAGGGGCAAGCUGGUGGGAAACUGAGUGCUAGAGGGGCCUGGCACUGUUUGGGGAAAAUUCUGGCAUUAGUUAACAUUUUUAUGUUAGUCUAUCCUAGGCAGGUGAGAGUCAUCAUGUUUAAACUUUCAUAAGAUUACUCUGGGAUUUUCUUGGGUGUGUGUAAAACUUUAAAAUUGUACAACACAGGACCGAGUAGGAAUAGUGCCCACGUAGAUAUACAGAAUUUCAGUCUGAAAGCUGUCUGGAACCAGUGGUCUGAUCAUUAAGAGACUUUGCCAUUGUUGCUUUUACAGUUAAAGCAGACCAUGUCCUGUCUGAGCAUCUGACACUGCAAAGGGGUGGCACCGCACUAGGGAGGCCACGACAGAGCAGGGUCACCUGGAGCAGCCAGAGUCUGAGCAGGUGAUGCCAAUUCCCUCUCCUUAGAGGAAGCAUCUUGCUGCUGAUCUUCAGCAAAAGUAACCUGCUCAUGGGGCAUUUUCUAA